rnacentral:lncRNA from 8 species
AAAUUAGCUUUAGCAGAGAAAGGUAAAACAAGACAAUAAAUAAGACAUGAAUAAGACAUUGCCAUAAAUAUAGAAUAUUUGUCAUUUAUACAUAUGCGUUUUACCAUUUUGGUGUGGUUUGUGUGGGUGCAACAUCCGUGACGGAGCCUAUAGAAAAUGCUGGAUGAAGAGCCUGCCUGUGCCAGUGCCAGCCCCUGGGGCCUCUGUCCCCUGCCUCUGUGGCUCUCCCUCCAUGGGGAAAUGUGAUUACAUGUGUAUGAGUGGUAGGUGCUGAGCAGAGAGCGGCUGACACCCGGGAGGCACACUUUGCCACCUCCAUGUAAGCCUCUUGUCCAAACAAGUCAGAUCUGGGGUUGAGGCAAGACACCCCAAAUUGUCUCUCUCAGUGUGACCCUGUCAAUCAAUGAGGAUGUCGGUUACCUCCGGAGUAACAACACAGAAAUAGCCAUCAUUACAAAGAGGAGAAAAUUACAAAGAGGAGAAAAAUACAACCAUGAUAUGAUUUGGGCAGAACAGAACAUCAGAUUCCUCAGUGGGCUAUAGAGGCAUUCUCUUACAUUCAUGUUGCUGCUGACAGAGAGAGAAUGCCAGAAGCAGAAGCCUUGUGUUUUCCUAUGACUCAGUGGUUGUUAGGUUUGAAAACAUUUCAUUAGAGAGAGGAUCUUUGUCAACACUGCCCGGCUGAUGUCAUAUCUCCAAUGACACUGUACACGUCACUACACUCAAUUGGGAAAAUGACAAUGGGAGCAUAGGGGUGCAGUAUAACUACAUGGACUGCUCCACUGCAGCAUGAGAGACUGGGAGGUAACCUGAUCCAGUCUCUGGUCUUCUUGCACUGCCAAGCAGAUAUUACUCUGUCUACAGUUGACGGCCAGCCCAUCCCCACCUGGCUGAAUCUACACUACUCGUUACGGUUAUCUCAGUGGGCAGCGGAGCGGGGACGUCAGCUGACAGCCAUUUCCCAUGAUGCCCCAGGAGGAGCCGUCAAGCUGUCCAUCCAACUGUCAGGUGACCAGUGGUUCCCAUGGUUCCCCCCUCUGCCACUCCAUUGAGCUGAAAGGCUCUAUUAUCUGUGCGUGUUGGAGAGGGACUGCUCAGGCUUUGAUAAGCUAUCACUGGUCCCAGAAACUCUGAACAGUGUCUGAACCCCAAACACAUUUUCAACACAGGCUUUGACUAACGCUUUGUGUUGGAGAAUGGAACCUCAUGCAUGUACAUGAGGUUCUGCUGCUCCAGUUUUAACUGUUCUGCCUGCGGCUAUGGAACCCUGACCUGUUCACCGGACGUGCUUGUUGCACCCUCGACAACUACUAUGAUUAUUAUUAUUUGACCAUGCUGGUCAUUUAUGAACAUUUUAACAUAUUGACCAUGUUCUGUUAUAAUAUCCACCCUGCACAGCCAGAAGAGGACUGGCCACCCCUCAUAGCCUGGUUCCUCUCUAGGUUUCUUCCUAGGUCUUUGGCCUUUCUAGGGAGUUUUUCCUAGGGAGUUUUUCCUAGCCACCGUGCUUCUUUCACAUGCAUUGCUUGCUGUUUGGGGGUUUAGGCUGGGUUUCUGUACAGCACUUUGAGAUAUCAGCUGAUGUACGAAGGGCUAUAUAAAUACAUUUGAUUUGAUUUGAUGAUGUACAACCCAAAUCAAUCAUACCCAACAUGUAUUAAAAGUUUAAUUAUCUUCGCAUUUAAAGAAAGUUUUGACCUAUAACAAUUGAGGGUAAUAUAAAAUGGAAUUAAGUGCAACGUGUCCACAUAUCAAGGAAUCAAUUAAUGAAUUGUCAAUAUCAGCACAACUUUCUACUUUGCUGUAGAAGGACACAUACUUCAUGUCUUCAUAGAGGUGUGAUAUACCACUGAUAACAUGAUCUGGCUUUGUAGCCUAAAGCCAGCACACAGCCAUGCCCACACAAUAUAAUCACAACUGUUAUGGAUAUACAUAAUAGCCAUAGCAAACCCAUUUGCUAUGUUCUCUAAUGGUGACAAACUGCCAGUAAUUACUGAUUAAACCCCCAGCCCAUCACUCCUUCCUGGUCUGCUAUCUGAGGGGGGUUGGAGGAACGGUUGUGGCAGCCCCAUGACAGAGUGCCCCCUUCUGGUGCUAGGUAGAGCGAGCAAAUACACAGGAGCUUAUUUGAUCAUCUUACAUAACACACCAUGUAGCAAUAUUCCUCUGUUGCCUUCAUCUAACAGGAUUCAAUAGGAUUGACUGAGCUCCAGGAUAUCUCUCUAACACCAACAAACAGCCCACCACAGAAAUUAACAUUGAUAUUAGUAGGCAUGUGUCACUUCUACUCUCAUCUGGUAACUUUGGGCUAGUUCAGUUGAAUGAUCCCUAUUAGGAUAUGAUCAUAAAUAUUACACCAUAUAUUUUGUUUAAUGCCAUCUUACCAUUCUCUUACCAAAUACCAUCAAAAUCUAUUGAAUUGUACAGUAUCUGCUAGGCAUAAUUCUUUAUCUGGGCCCAAUAUUCCACUCUCAUUUGAGGAUAUUGUAAACCUAUUAUGAAAAUAGUUUUUCCCAUAAGGGGUGCAGGAGUUCAUGGAAGAAGCAACUAUUCUCUUUAUUUUGUGAUAGGCUGUCUCAGCUGUCUGUGUCCUGUCAUUCUGACAUCUGGUAUAAAAGACAAGCAAGCGGUUUGCGACAUCACAAGCCACAAAAAAAGAAUAUAAAAAAGCACCUUUAAAAAAAUCAAGAGUUUAUGGGGCAGAGAUCAGAAAUAAGUGCUGCUCUACAACAUGCUGAGCGUCGAAAAAAAAUCAUUUAACAUUCUUUAAUUUUCUGAGUAAAAUGGACAGCCAUUUCAGGUCGAAUAAUUGUUUGAACCAAGGAUUUUAUCAUUAAUCCAGGAGGGCUGGCAGAUCUAGGGUCACACUGGGGGUUGAUUAGGUACGAGGCGCACAAAGCUCUCUUCAGUCGAUGCCAUUGAAAAGAAGCAAGUAAUUUAGAUUCAGAAUUGGUCUAGGACUGUGAAGCUCGCUCCAUUACCGAACAUUUUCAAUUUCAGCCUCACAAUAAACAUCAAGCUUGCCAAGGAAAUUAUAGCAUUUGGUAAUGUACUGGAGCAGAUAGGUGGGUAUUGACAAGAGGACACAACCCAAGGCAUCAGCAAAAUAAAUCCUUGAGAUAUGGGGUCUCUUUUUUGACUUGGGUGGACUCUCUGUUUUCUUAAGAUGUGUUCCUGAGCUUACCAACAUGCAUACAAAAAUGUUUUUUUUUGCCCAAACUAAAUAUGCCACAAAAGAAAAUGUAAAACCAUUAAAUCAAAACUUGUACACAUCUUUGCUUGCCUUUUUGAGUGCUUAUAACACUUACAUUCUGAGAUUGAAAACAAA